GGUCAAAUUUUAAAGGGCUUACGGUGGAUGCCUUGGGACCAAGGGCCGAAGAAGGACGCGGUAAGGCUGCGAAAAGCCUCGAUGAGCCGUCUAACAGGCGUAAUCGGGGAUCUCCGAAUUGGGUAACCUGUUCCGGCGUUGAGUCGGUCCACCCGCAUUGCGGGAGGUAAGUGGGGGAACUGAAACAUCUAAGUACCCCGAGGAAAAGAAAUCAACCGAGAUUCCCUUAGUAGUGGCGAACGAACGGGGAACAGCCCAAACCGCAGCGACCUAACGGCAUGAGGGCCUAUGUCGUUGCGGGGUUACAGGACGCCUCUGGGGCCGCCUCAUCAGGCUCCGGGGAGUUACAAAUUUCAUCUCUAGCCGAAGGACCCUGGGAAGGGCCGCCAUAGACGGUGACAGCCCGGUAGGCGAAAGGGAUGGAACUCCCGAGGCUGAUCCUAAGUACCAUGGGGCACGUGAAACCCUGUGGGAAGUUGGGGGGACCACCCUCCAAGGCUAAAUACCCUUGGUCACCGAUAGCGCACCAGUACCGUGAGGGAAAGGUGAAAAGAACCCCUAGCGGGGAGUGAAAUAGACCUGAAACCGUAAGCCUACAGAAUGUCGCAGCCUCGAUUCAGUUCGGGGUGGCGGCGUGCCUAUUGAAGAAUGAUCCGGGGACUUACUGUAUGGAGCAAGGUUAAGGAACUGGAGUUCCGGAGCCGUAGCGAAAGCGAGUCUGAAUAGGGCGUUCAGUUCCAUGUAGUAGACUCGAAACCGGGUGAGCUACCCAUGGCCAGAUUGAAGGUUCGUUAACGCGGACUGAAGGAUCGAACUCGUGGCUAGUACAAAAGCUUGGGAUGAGCUGUGGGUAGAGGUGAAAUGCCAAUCGAACCCGGAAAUAGCUAGUUCUCCCCGAAAUGCAUUUAGGUGCAGCCUCGGGAAUUAGGAGGACGGAGGUAGGGCACUGAAUGGGCUAGGGGGCGUGAGCUUACCAAACUCAAUCAAACCACCAAUGCCGUUCUGCCGAUACCCGGGAGUGAGACAGUCACAGAUAAGUGCGAUUGUCAAAAGGGAAACAGCCCAGACCACCGGCUAAGGCCCCCAAGCGCAGACUAAGUGGGAAACGAGGUAGGGUUCCCAAAACAGCCAGGAGGUUGGCUUAGAAGCAGCCACCCUUUAAAGAGUGCGUAAUAGCUCACUGGUCGAGGGAUCCUGCGCGGAAAAUGUAACGGGGCUUAAGUCUGUCGCCGAAGCCGUGGAUGUACAGGUAUCAGUACCUGGGCAUGGUAGGGGAGCGUUCCUCGGGCGAAGAAGGUAAGUCGUGAGGCUUGCUGGAGCGCGGGGAAGUGAGAAUCCCGGAAUGAGUAGCGUA
rnacentral:rRNA from 1 species